rnacentral:lncRNA from 1 species
CAUGCCCCGCUAUAAGCUGGCUUUAAUCCUGAAAGCCAUGCCGCGGCCAGACUGCUGCUGCUUUGAAACAUACGAUAGAGGUUCUGAUGGAAAAAGGAGCAAUAGUGAGGAACUUGGAAAACCUGGGUGAGUGAGCGCUUCCUUGUAAGAUCUCCACCCACAAUCAGUGGCACAACAGAGGCGGGUAUUUCCUGGUGAAUUUUUAUGCACCAACCACAACUGUUGAAAGCAUGAUGGAGCACUUCUCCAAACGUAGAUGUGAUUAGACCGAAUAUUGUCAAACACCCUCUGACCCAGGAACUAAAAGAAUGUGAAGGGAUUGUCCCAAUCCCACUUAAAGGAAAAUUAUAUUACACAAAGAAGAGGAAGA